rnacentral:tRNA from 2 species
GGUUCUAUGGUGUAAUGGUUAGCACGCUGGACUUUGAAUCCAGUGAUCCGAGUUCAAAUCUCGGUGGAACCU